rnacentral:lncRNA from 1 species
AUAGACGAGUAGACCUUAGGCGAGGGAAGGCAUGUACUUUCCCUAAGAAGCGGGAGGAGAGAAAUAAAUAGAGGGCAGUGGGAUGAGAAGAACCUCGCGGGAUGGGAAGCCGCGGAGGGAAGGGCCGUCUUUGGUUACCUGGAGAGCGGGAGCAGCUGCGGAUCCCUUAUGAAGUGCCCGGAUGAAGCUCCAGCGCUCACGCGCUUUCCGCAUUGAGUGCAGCGCCAUCUUGAGAAGGGCGGAGCCGUCUUGUUUGGAAUGACGUCUGUUCAGAGAGCCAAUCCCAGUCUCGCGACUCCUGCUUGCUGGGCGCGGCUUGGGCCUCCAGGCUGCGCAGCGCAGCCGCUAUCGGGCGGACUGCAGUUCUUGCCGAGCAGCUACUGAAAAUUACCAAGGAGAGGUAGGAGAUAAGAGAUGCCUAUAAAGGAGCUGAAAUCUACCAGGGUAAGACAAAACAGUAAAUUAAAACCAUAUAGGAUAAUCUUGUAGGUAUACAAAGUACUGGUGAAGUUCAAGUAUAAUUGGUGUAAUUUAGAAGUGAGCAGGAAAGGGAUGAAGGCAAAAAAAAAACUAGGAAAUCAAGUUAUAGUCUUCAACAAAGCUGAUCAGUUUGGUUUUGGCUGUUAAAUUUGAGGUGCUUGUAGUACUUCCAAAAUGUGAUGCCCAUUAAAUAGAUACAUGGGUCUGGAGCUCAGAAGAGAUUUGAACUACCAAACAGAUGGUAAUUGAAACCAAGGAAAUCCUUGAGACCAUCAGAUAGAGUUUGUGGAGUGAAAGUAGCCAGAUGAUGGAAAUAAAGGAGCCAAGAGGUGUUGUAGAACCCAAAGAAUG